GCGGGUGUAGUUCAAUGGCAGAACGGCAGCUUCCCAAGCUUCAUACGAGGGUUCGAUUCCCUUCACCCGCUCCA
rnacentral:tRNA from 92 species